AUUACGCGCUGGAUUUAAGCAUAUUAUUAAGCGGAGGAAAAGAAAUUAACAAAGAUUACCUUAGUAAGGGCGACUGAACCGGUAAAAGCUCGAAAUUGGAAUCAGUGAUUCAAAGAAUCUCUGAGUUGUAAUCAGGACAGCCUAAAUACCAGAAGUAGUUUAAUAGGUUCGAAAACCUGGCCAUAGAGGGUGCUAGCCCCGUGAAACUAUAGCUGGAGUAAGGCUGGAUCCACAAGAGUCGGGUUGCCUGGAACUGCAGCCCUAAGUGGGAGAUAUGGUUCUUCCAAAGCUAAAUAUGAAUGGGAAACCGAUAGCGAACAAGUACUGUGAAGGAAAGAUGAAAAGGACUUUGAAAAGAGAGUGAAAAGAUCUGAAAUCGUUGAGAAGGAAGCGGUAAAACUGACUUGCGUGCUGAAAGACUAAUGCGGUAACCCCGUAGAGGUCUUACCAGAGCGCUAGGCAAAAUCAAGUUGAACGCACCAAAAAAGGUGCAAGCCGGACAGGGUGUGUUCAGCUUGAGGGACUACGGUGAUUUUGCCAAAAUGGUUUUUACCGUCCCGUCUUGAAACACGGACCAAGGAGUCUAUCCUAUAUGCGAGUGUGCGGGUGUAGAAACCCAUACGCGAAAUGAAAGUGAAAGGUGCGCAGCGCAAGCAGCAGCAUCGACCGACCUGGUAAGAAAGGUUUGAGUAAGAGCAUAUCUGAUAGGACCCGAAAGAUGGUGAACUAUGCCUGAGUAGGGUGAAGUCAGGGGAAACCCUGAUGGAGGCUCGAAGCGGUGCUAACGUGCAAAUUGCUCGUCAAACUUGGGUAUAGGGGCGAAAGACUAAUCGAACCAUCUAGUAGCUGGUUCCCUCCGAAGUUUCCCUCAGGAUAGCUGGAACAAUUAUGCAGUUUUAUCGGGUAAAGCGAAUGAUUAGAGGUCUCAGGACUAUUUUGGUCUUGUCCUAUUCUCAAACUUUAAAUUGGUAAGAACUCUUUGUUAUCUUAACUGAACAUUGAGACAGAAUGCGUGUUCCUAGUGGGCCAUUUUUGGUAAGCAGAACUGGCGAUGAGGGAUGAACCUAACGUUGAGUUAAGGUGCCCAACUAUACGCUCAUGAGAUACCACAAAAGGUGUUGAUUCAUCUAAACAGCAGGACGGUGGACAUAUAAGUCGUCAUCCGCUAAGGAGUGUGUUACAACUCACCUGCCGAAUGAAUUAGCCCUGAAAAUGGAUGGCGCUAAAGCGUAUGACCGAUACUCAACCAUCAAUACAAAAGUAUGUAUUGAUGAGUAGGAGGGCGUGGGUGUUGUACGAAGCUUAUGGCGUGAGCCUGAGUGGAACGACAUCUAGUGCAGAUCUUGGUGGUAGUAGCAAAUAGCCAAUUGGAAACGUUGGCGGCCGAAGUGGAGAAGGGUUCCCUGACAACAGCAUUUGGUCAGGGGUUACGCGGUCCUAAGUCUCUGGUUAAACCUCUAUAAGGUGCUCUACAGCACAGGGCGAAAGGGAAUCAGGUUGAAAUUCCUGACGCUAGGCGGGAUUCGUGGCAACACUAACUAGCUCAGAAACGCCAGCAAGUGUUCUUGGAAGAGUUUUCUUUUCUUCUUGACAAACAAAUGGCCUUGGAAUUGGUUUACCCAGAGAUAAGGCUAUAAGUUUGGCAGAGCAUCUCGCUUUUUAGAGAUGUCAGGUGCACUCUUGAUGGUCCAUGAAAAUCUGAGCCAGAUCAAUCCAGUCUAGUCCGUACCCAUAACCGCAUCAGGUCUCCAAGGUUAAU
rnacentral:rRNA from 1 species